rfam:Trichobilharzia regenti genome assembly, scaffold: TRE_scaffold0002591
GUACUGCUGAAGAGUCCCAAACUAGGAUGAGACAGCUGUCCAGUAC